rnacentral:rRNA from 1 species
UACGUAGGGGGCAAGCGUUGUCCGGAAUCAUUGGGCGUAAAGCGCGUGUAGGCGGUCCGGUAAGUCCGCUGUGAAAGUCGGGGGCUCAACCCUCGGAUGCCGGUGGAUACUGUCGGGCUUGAGUACGGAAGAGGCGAGUGGAAUUCCGUGGUGUAGCGGUGGAAAUGCGCAGAUAUCAGGAGGAACACCAAUUGCGAAGGCAGCUCGCUGGGACGUUACUGACGCUGAGACGCGAAAGCGUGGGGAGCAAACAGG